GCCUGGGUGGCUCAGUUGGUUGAACGUCUGACUUCAGCUCAGGUCAUGAUCUUGCAGUCCGUGGGUUUGAGUCCUGCAUCGGGCU
rfam:Felis catus isolate Cinnamon breed Abyssinian chromosome E1, whole genome shotgun sequence.